GCUUGAGACACUGGGAAAUGAAGUCCUUGGCUUGGUCGGAGACCCCUUCAAACAACUCGGAUGGAAAAUCUAACUGAGCAUUGGAGAUGUUCCUCAAGGUCUCUUGAUCUGAGUCCCCACCGAAUGGUGAAAACCCACACCAGGAUGAUUUCAUAUCGGUUUUGAAACACGUCCUUGAGAUGCACGAUCUUGUUGGAUUCGUUGCAAAUAUAAAGCAUUGCGAUUUCGUGCAGAACCUCCAUGGAACAAUCCACGCCACAUCGUAUACGCGAUGAGAAUUUGGCCGCGUAUUGAAUGCCCGUUUCCCGAGACGAUCACGACCUCUCCAUGAUGUCAAGGAAGGGAAUGGAGGAAGAAAGGCAUGUGGAUUUGUGACUGGAGGUGAUGCGUGGUAUCAAAAGAUAACUUGGGAGCGGUGACCAAUGCGUUUGUCACAUCACAUGGACAUCAACCAAGCUUUGUUCUGCACACACAAACAUCCACAUCCACGUCCACGUCCGCACAUACCGAUGUCUGCGUGUCUUUUUUCGUACAUUCAACUACUCGUACAUACAUAAUGCAUAAUGGGUAGCGCUUGCCACCUGACUGUUCUGAGUAAUAUUCCGACUGUUAUCGAGCCUGGGACAGUUUGGACAAGUCCAUAUCUUUCUUUGGACGAACUACUGCUGGGUUAUCAUCCUGACGAUCCUUCUCGUGUGUCAAAAUGAGAGGUAAACUAAUUCUUGAGAAGCUCGUUUGCGCGAGUUAUUCAAAUGAAGCGAGCGAAUUCUGGCCCCGUCGAAAUUGUGGCCCUUCCAUUUAAGGAAGCUUGACCGAAACGGGAUGAACUCUGUGACUCAUACCGGGUUUGAUCCUCCAAGAUAGAACAAGAUUGAGGCAGACGGGCUCUGAACUAGAAACUUGAGGGGAUCAAUCACUCACUCACAUUGGGCCAUCAGCUUAAUCUAGGAGGUUCUGAGGAAUACGGUGACACCAAAACUUGACGUCAUGUCGCAAAACCAUGGCCACUUGGCAAGUCCCAACCAAUUGAGACAAGAUAUUCUUCUAAAGCUCAAUAUCAUGAAGGAAGAUUAGAGAUUGAAAGAAGAUUUAGCGACAAUUUGCAAGAACAUAUAAAAGCUAUAAUGGUAAACUGAAAAUGAGAGCAUCCAUGAAAAAUGGUCCAAAGGCAUGAAAUGGCAAGCUAGACUGAAUCAACGGCUUUCAAAGCAUGAGAAAAAAAUUGUACACGACAAAGUGAAGA